rnacentral:lncRNA from 1 species
CAAGUCCUAACAAUUCUAUCUCCUAAACAUCUCACUAAUCUGUCCAGGCCUCUGUCUCCAUUGAUACCAACAUUCUUUCUUACCCAGAUAUAAAUAGCUCUUUCUUUUUAAUAACGGUAUACACUGAGCAUGGUGGCACAGGCCUGUAAUCACAGCUACUCAGGAGGCAAAGGCAGGAAGAUCGCUUGAGCCCAGGAGUUAGAGGCUGCAGUGAGAUAUGAUGGCACCACAGAAGAAAUGCACUCCAGCCUGAGUAACAGAGUAAGACCUCAUUUCUAAAUAAGUAUUUAAAAAUAAAAAUAAAUGUACAGUUCAAUGUGUUGUGACAAAUGUUUACACCUACGUAUCUACCCUGCCAAUCAAAAUACAUAACAAUUCCAUCACCCCAAGAAGUUCUCUCAUGCCCCUUUCCUAUCAC